UGUCAGGCGAGGGUCAGUGGCUGGAGAGCUGCCCUAGGAGGGCACGACAAGCCCUCCAUACCAGAGAUACUACCCCUCCCUGAGCACCCCAUACACCCCAGGGUUCUCUGAAUACUAAAGGUUAAUCAGCUGGAGAGUCAACAGCCUUGAAGAUGCUUCUGGAUGAAGAUCCUUCCCCCAUCCCUGUAUCCUCCAUGCAACACAUAUCCGGAUGAUCUUCUUCUCAGAAGAUUUCAUCAACUCCUGAGUCUGAGGCUGGACUGUCUGACUGAACUUGCCCAGUGACUCUCCCAGUCAUUCAAGAUCCAUGGCAGGGACCCUCAAAGUUGAGGCUCUCCUUAUUACUGCUGAUUUCCUCCAGUUCCUUGGUAGUUUCAGCAAGUGCUUGCUGCCUGAACAAAGUGAGGGACUGGAGCACAACUGGAGAGAAUCAUGGCCAGAAUUGUAAGGGAGAAGAACUGGUCCAGAGACAAGGCUUUGUGAAGACUAGGUGCUGACUCUCAGUCAAGGGGAGGCACUGAUUUCUUCUAUUCCUGUGCUCAGAGAGGCAACAUAUUAGAAUAUGCAAAGGACCUGCCAAGAGAGAUCUCAGUUCGAGUUCUGUUUCUGACGUCCUAGCAUGGGUGAAAGGAACAGUGUUUCUAUGGAACCAAUUUCAUCGUUGCCUUAUUUUAAGACGUCUCCACGGCCUCCCCAGCCUUCAACAAUCACUACCCCAGUGAGUCAGCAGUCAUCGGCGUCAAGGCAAGACUCUACCAGCAGAAGGAUUAUGACUCACUGAAGCUCGGAUGAUGGUUAGCAAUUUUUAGCAAUAAAGUAUUUUUGCAUUAAGGUAUGUACA
rnacentral:lncRNA from 1 species